UCUGGUAAUCUAUCAUCGACAGUUCUACUC
rnacentral:piRNA from 1 species